rnacentral:rRNA from 1 species
UAAUACGUAGGUGGCCAGCGUUAUCCGGAAUCAUUGGGCGUAAAGCGCGUGCAGGUGGGUUCGUAAGUCGGACGUGAAAUCUCCUGGCUUAACCAGGAGGGGCCGUCCGGAACUGCGGGCCUUGAGGUCGGGAGAGGGACGUGGAAUUCCCGGUGUAGUGGUGGAAUGCGUAGAUAUCGGGAGGAACACCAGUGGCGAAGGCGGCGUCCUGGCCCGCACCUGACACUCAGACGCGAAAGCGUGGGGAGCGAACGGG